GGGGGUAUAGCUCAGUUGGUGAGAGCACCGCGCCUUGCAAGCAGGGGGUCAGGAGUUAGAAUCUCCUUAUCUCCACCA
rnacentral:tRNA from 1 species